UCGAGGGUGAGCUGUUCGACGGUGAACGGCGUUCCGUCGAGCGGAACGUCGGCGCGGACGAUGAGCGUGGACUGCCGUUCGACGUGGCUCUCCUCGAU
rnacentral:tRNA from 1 species